rnacentral:rRNA from 1 species
GGCGGAGCUGUGGCACACUCUAGGCGUAGUAGUUUAACACCUCGCCUCUAGAGUGGCCGCGGUUACUGGCCGUAAAACCCCCAUAUUUAUAG